CUCUCCCCCAAAUCACUCUCUCUCGUCUCUACUCUCUUCUGCUCUCUUCGACGAACUCACACGCACACAUAUACACACCCACACACACACUAACUCUCCCUCGGACCUCCCUUGUUCCUCUUCUCCCUCUAUGAGUACAAGGACCGAGACCACCCACAUCAUUUUUCCGGCGAGUUCCUCGUCCCUUCGGCCAAGAAUCGAGGCGUACAAUCCCAGCGUCAAGGCACUCCCAAAGCGGCAUCUUUGAGUCCUCUCAAUGUAAGACCCAUUCUCUUUGUCCAUUCAAUUUUAUAUUAUUUUCCUUUUUAGUGUUCUAGAUUAGUUGUAUGCUCUGAAUACGUUCCUCAACUGCAUAUUGAUUACAUUUAAAUUUAUAAAUCUUAUUUCUUUAUUGUUCUCAUGCGUUCUAAUAUGGCUUCGUCACAUUCGGGUGUUGGCCAACACAUGCCUACCCUGGUGUUUGGGAGAAUAUCAAGGUCGGGUGUGUCAACGUCUAUAUACAGUAAAGGAAACGAAUUUCAAUCGUCACUAUAAGUAAUCAGACGAAUACCAAACUGUACCUGAAACUCCUCCAAGAAAUUGAAAUCCACGCCUACUAGAAAACCUAAGAUAUAAACUCAAUCUCCUACUACUAAGAGUUCCACAUUUUUUCACCUAGUGACUCAGGAAUGAAUGGUCAUCCACUCUUGAAUUUGGAUGUGUUUUUAGUGUUUUAAUCUCAACCCUUAGUAUCAUAUUCAAAGGUGAAUAACUAUGAAUCUUGGUCCCCAAUUAGUAACCAAGAGAUCAAGACUCGUACAAUCAAUAUUGUUUGUUAUUUAUCAUUUUGUUCCGAAUAUUAUGAUUUUUUGGACCAACUUGGAAACCCUUGCAGACUAGUAUUUGGAAACCCUUGCCGCUUUCACUGAUUAUAUAUAUAUAUAUACACUGCUAGACUUUUUUAGCUUCUGAAUUCUUACCUGCCAAUUUCUUCUCUUCCAAACUCUCAAUUUCUUCACGUCCAACUAGCUCUAGCUUUCAGAGGACCCUAGUUUUCCCCCUCUCGUCUCUAUAAUCCUUACCUUCCAGUUUUUUCUCUUUCCGGUUCUCACUAAACCCUAGCUUUCAGAAAACCCUAGUUUGUUUUUCCUUUAGUUUAGUCAAGGAGAAGUACAAACAAUGAAACUUGCAAGCACUCUUCAAGAAAAGACAAGUCGGUUCAUCAAGAAGUUGAGCAAGUCCCAAUACUCCAGGAAAAGUUACACAGCUUUAAGCAAGUCCCAGCCCCCCAAGAAAGGUUAUAUCAAUGUGUACGUUGGACAAGAAUGAAAGCUAUAUCAAAUUGCUUUGAAGUAUCUCUUGGAUCCAACUCUCCAACAACUCAUCGAGAAGUCGCAGCCGGAUGUGUUCCACGCAAAGAUUGACGGGCCAAUUGAUGAGCUUGCAUGUACGACCAACACCUUCGAUGAGUUGCUCAAGAUCUUCAGAAAGUAGUAGAUUGCGUGCACGCACUGCCUUGCUUGAUUAAUAUUGAUUAUUUGUUCAUUCUUUUGUACUUUGAAUUAAUUUUUGUAUUCGAGGUUUAUUAGUUAUUGAUUCAUAUGUACCAUAUUUAACUUAGUUUAUCGUUCAAAAAGCAUACAUCUC
rnacentral:sRNA from 1 species